rnacentral:rRNA from 1 species
GACGUAGGGGGCAAGCGUUGUCCGGAUUCACUGGGCGUAAAGGGCGCGUAGGCGGUUACGUAAGUCCGAUGUGAAAAGUCACGGCUCAACUGUGAUCGUGCAUCGGAGACUGCGUUGACUUGAGGACGGUAGAGGCAAGUGGAACUAGCGGUGUAGCGGUGAAAUGCACAGAUAUCGCUAGGAACGCCGGUGGCGAAGGCGACUUGCUGGGCCGUUCCUGACGCUGAGGCGCGAAAGCUAGGGGAGCGAACCGG